CCUGGGACUUACGUCCCAGGCUGUUGCAUGGCAUGGCUUCGCCACU
rnacentral:sRNA from 1 species